CACGAACUGUGCAAACGUUAUUCGGAAUCACUGGGCUUAAAGAGUUCGUAGGCGGCGCGUUAAGUCGGGUGUGAAAUCCCUCGGCUCAACCGGGGAAUUGCGCCCGAAACUGGCGUGCUAGAGUGAGAUAGAGGUGAGCGGAACUGAUGGUGGAGCGGUGAAAUGCGUUGAUAUCAUCAGGAACACCGGUGGCGAAGGCGGCUCACUGGGUCUCAACUGACGCUGAGGAUCGAAAGCUAGGGUAGCGAACGGG
rnacentral:rRNA from 1 species